CGGGUGUGUGGGUGGGCGCCUCAGGGCUGCUCUUUCAAAGCACACUCUGUCACUCUAUUGGGCUCGUAAAGUCCACUGUGCGUGUGUCAGUGAAGAAAAUGUUAAAGGAGAAACAGGUGAUGGUUCCUACCCGCCUCAGUUUGGGGAAUCAUCACUGAAGCUCUUGCAUGAGUUAAUGAAGAGGUACCACGUCCCCGAAAUCACGUCUCUGGGAUCUGACAGGCUUCCCCAAUGGGACGCAAAGGUGUGGAGUCCCAUUUUGAGGAUGCAGGGGAUGGUGAAGGCCCACAUAGGGCCUCCCUUCUCAUGUGAGUCACGGUGUGUGUGUGUGUGGGGGGGUGCCAGUACCACUAUUCCUCCCCACUAACGCUGCCAUCUUGUCUUCACAGACCCAGGCCUGCCUGCUGCCUCACAGCCCUCAGAGUCAGCCACAACCAUCUGAGGAAUGUCUCCAUUCUGUGUCCCUAAGUGUGCAGAAUAUACAACAAGGACUGGGGUCAUUAUAAAUAUCCAGAAGCGGACCUGACUUUCUGUUUUAGGGGCACAAGAGAAGAGUCCAUCUCAGGUGGGCCAAGGGCCACCCCCACCCCUCACAGUCCUUCCUGCCACAGGAACCCCAACCCAUGGGGCACCCAGGAUUGGGCUCUGCCGACUGGAAGAUCCCCAAGGACACACAUCCCCUUCUCUCUUUCUGAAAAUGCUGUCCUAGAGCAGAAUGCGGAAAUCAAGAUGGUCCUCAAGAUAAACAUACACAUUAUGGAACCAGAGGAGCUGACCUCACGGCAAAGAAGCCCACGGAAGCCCCUGGAAGGUCCCAGAUGAUGCCGGAGAUACCUGACCUUCUAAGAAGGCUCCUGGCAGAGGGCCUUCAGCACCAGUGCCCCCAACUCAGCCAAUGACAGCACACUCCACAAAGACCCACCGCCUACUGCCUGAAAGGGCCCACCAGACCCCAUGGCGGGGGUGGGGGACUGAGACCUUCCUGACACCCAACACGCACCAGGACCCUGUAUUCCAGAAUUCAUUGUUUGUCAGCUGAUUUCCCAACAAGAAAAACUCUCUCACAGAGCCCUGGUUGGGUCCAUCACACGAGUCCUCCCCACCCUUCAGUUCUGGAAAUCUUAGAUGUCCCCUCAAGGAUACACAAGAGCCUGGUCACAGGGCAGGACAAUCAGUUUUUCCUGUCAACCUUUGCGGUGCUUGGGUUUUUGCCACAUGUGGGUAUCACUGAAGACAGGACAGAUGACGACACUGGACUCACGCAGACACUAGCCCUGAGCCUGCAGCCCAGGGGCGGGCGAGGCCCCUGCGGUCACAGGACAAGGCUGUGGCCUCGCCGCCCCCCUCCCCCACGCCGUCAGUGUGCAGGCUGGCCGCGACACAAAAAUCAACCGAGCGGCAUUACCGACGGGUUAUUAUUACACCCCAGUGCGUCCAGGGGCU